CAGCGCCACGAGUGGGAACUAUAAUUAUUGGGCCUAAAGCGUCCGUAGCCUGUUUGAUAAAUUUCUUGUGAAAUUGUUAAGCUCAACUUAACACCGUGCAGGAAAGACUGUCAAACUUGGGACUGGGAGGAGUUAGAAGUAUCUUUGGGGUAGCGGUAAAAUGUUAUAAUCCUAAAGAGACUACCUAUGGCGAAAGCAUCUAACCAGAACAGGUCCGACGGUGAGGGACGAAAGCUAGGGGAGCAAACCGGAUUAGAUACCCGAGUAGUCC
rnacentral:rRNA from 1 species